rnacentral:rRNA from 1 species
GAUGAACGCUGGCGGCGUGCCUAAUACAUGCAAGUCGAACGCGAGAGGAGGGAGCUUGCUCCCUCUGAUCGAGUGGCGGACGGGUGAGUAACACGUAGGCAACCUGCCCAUCAGCCGGGGAUAACUGCGGGAAACCGUGGCUAAUACCGGAUAAUCCUCUCCACCGCGGGGUGGGGAGUUGAAAGACGGUUUCGGCUGUCGCUGAUGGAUGGGCCUGCGGCGCAUUAGCUGGUUGGCGGGGUAACGGCCCACCAAGGCAACGAUGCGUAGCCGGCCUGAGAGGGGGAUCGGCCAAACUGGGACUGAGACACGGCCCAGACUCCUACGGGAGGCAGCAGUAGGGAAUCUUCCGCAAUGGACGCAAGUCUGACGGAGCACCGCCGCGUGAGUGAAGAAGGGUUUCGGCUCGUAAAACUCUGUUGUUAAGGAAGAACGCCAGGUAGAGUAACUGCUACCUGUGUGACGGUACUUAACCAGAAAGCCACGGCUAACUACGUGCCAGCCGCCGCAGUAA